rnacentral:rRNA from 1 species
AUUGAACGCUGGCGGCAUGCUUUACACAUGCAAGUCGAACGGCAGCGCGGGCUUCGGCCUGGCGGCGAGUGGCGAACGGGUGAGUAAUACAUCGGAACGUGCCCAGUAGAGGGGGAUAGCUCGGCGAAAGCCGGAUUAAUACCGCAUACGACCUGAGGGUGAAAGCGGGGGAUCUUCGGACCUCGCGCUAUUGGAGCGGCCGAUGACAGAUUAGCUAGUUGGUGGGGUAAAGGCCUACCAAGGCGACGAUCUGUAGCUGGUCUGAGAGGACGACCAGCCACACUGGAACUGAGACACGGCCCAGACUCCUACGGGAGGCAGCAGUGGGGAAUUUUGGACAAUGGGCGAAAGCCUGAUCCAGCAAUGCCGCGUGUGUGAUGAAGGCCUUCGGGUUGUAAAGCACUUUUGGCGGGAACGAAAAGGACUGUGCCAAUACCACGGUUCGAUGACGGUACCCGCAGAAUAAGCACCGGCUAACUACGUG